GGGCCCGUGGUCUAGAGGUUAUGACGCCCGCCUGACGCGCGGGAGGUCCCAGGUUCAAAUCCUGGCGGGCCCACCA
rnacentral:tRNA from 2 species